rnacentral:rRNA from 1 species
AUUGAACGCUGGCGGCAUGCCUUACACAUGCAAGUCGAACGGCAGCAUGAUCUAGCUUGCUCGAUUGAUGGCGAGUGGCGAACGGGUGAGUAAUACAUCGGAACGUGCCCUGUGGUGGGGGAUCACUAGUCGAAAGAUUAGCUAAUACCGCAUACGACCUGAGGGUGAAAGUGGGGGACCGCAAGGCCUCAUGCUAUAGGAGCGGCCGAUGUCUGAUUAGCUAGUUGGUGAGGUAAAGGCUCACCAAGGCGACGAUCAGUAGCUGGUCUGAGAGGACGAUCAGCCACACUGGGACUGAGACACGGCCCAGACUCCUACGGGAGGCAGCAGUGGGGAAUUUUGGACAAUGGGCGAAAGCCUGAUCCAGCAAUGCCGCGUGUGUGAAGAAGGCCUUCGGGUUGUAAAGCACUUUUGUCCGGAAAGAAAUGGCUCUGGUUAAUACCUGGGGUCGAUGACGGUACCGGAAGAAUAAGGACCGGCUAACUACGUG